UGCCUUGCCUUUUCUGCUUUAAAUAUUACUAUUUGCUUUAUAGGUUGCUUCAUUUUCUGCAGUUCCUCUCUUAAGAUGAUGCAGCUUUGUACUACAUUUAUUUGGCAGGCUCUCUUCUUCUAUAAACUUAAUGCUAUACCUUUCAAAUGGAGUUCUUAUUCCAGUUCCUAAUUUUGUUAUGGUAAGACCUAAGAUCUUGUUCUGUGAAGUCUAUUGACUGGAUGCUGAGUGCUUCUUCCUGAACUCUCUUCCUAAAUUUAUGCUUGCUCUAGAGACAGAGAUACAAAAUCCUUAAUUUUUCAUUGCAAAAUCUAAUGCCUGCUCUUGUAAACUUAAUGUGGAUCUGCUUUGCAGUGGCAUGCUUAAUUUUGCUGCACAGCCCUGACCUUCACAACUUGCAAAUUAAUCUUAAUUCCAGCCAUAAUUUAAGCAGUGACACUUUUGUUAUUUCACUGAUCAACCUAAUUUUGGUUGUCCCAGAAAUACUCCAUGAUUAAUUCCUAAAGAAUUGACUUUGAAACAUCUUUACUGGAAAAGAUAAUUGGAGAACAGAACAGAAUGAUUACAGUUAUUGAAUACUAAUAUUUAAUGAAAAAAUAGCCAGGAAAUAUAAUUUUACAUACAAAAGGAUUUGAAACUUAGUAAUUAAAUUCCUAGAAACUUCAAAAUAUGAUGACAGAUGACUAUUCUAUUUACCAUUGCAUCAUUUUCUGAAGGGGAAGAGGGGUCUCAGUGUACCCGCUGGUGAGAAGUUCAGCAUGCAGUUAAUCUAAGGUCAGAAGAACAUUUUUCCAGAUGAGAGGAGGUUUUUCAUUGUCUGAUCAUUAUUAUUAUUAUUGAUUUGUGUUGUCAGAAGUGACUGUAUUCAUUACGUUCCUCCUUUUUUUUUUUUCCCUAGGAAGAAUCUGUUUGUGUUUAUCCCAGUUUUUGGUUUGUGCUAAUCCUCACCAAUACGGUUUUAUUCUGUGGUCAGUUGAGUCACUGGGCAGCUCUUGUUGUUGCUCUGUCACCAAGCCUCUGCCUAGUGGGUGCUAUCUACAUAGCCCGUGGAAAAAAAAUACCAUUUUCUCCCUAAGAAACCUCAUGGGUACAGGGCUCAGUGCAUCUGAGGCCUCUUAUCUAACUGUCCAAUUUUCACUGUACAGCUUCUACUACACUAAGCUGUAAAUAUAUUGUUUAUUUAUAAACAAUGCUCUUAUGUAGAUAAUACAUACGUACAGCAGGUUUUCCUUCUUAAUAUCUUCAGGAAUUAGUGUGUCCAAAACUACACUGGGAUUUACUGCUGCCCCCUUGCUUUGACCCAAUGCCAUACUUUGGUGGCAUUGUUCUCAUGGGUGAUGGCUGUUCCUGGUCUCCUCUUUGUGCUUCCACUGCUUCAGCACCUGACUAUCUGGGCCUGAGAGCUUUUAUGCCUGUAAUGUUACUCAACUCACAACCCCACCUGCACUGGAGCAGCACAACUGCCCCUCUUGCACCAGCAAAAGUGGGAAUGUUGGAUGAACGCCAGACUACUGAGAGGAUGUAAGAGCCACAUGACCUCCUGCUGUGUUCUUUUUCUGCCCUCACAGUUUCAAGAUAUUUUUCAUAAUAAAAUUUAAGGACAAUUAAAUGUCUUUC